CCCAGUUUUUUCGGGAUGUGUUGCAAGCAUCAAGUAAGUGAAUGUUUGCAAAAUGUUAAUCAUCCAUCCUGGUGUUUGUACUGUUUUAGCUGUGUGGAAAUGUUUGGUGCUCAACAUGCUGUAGGUUUGAUUCCAUCUUCCUCCACCACCAUUUUAGCGUCUUUAGGUAAGUGUUAGGGCUUGAGCAACGGACGAACCCAGAAUGCAGACUAGCAGGCAGCAUGAUGGCAAUUUCUAGUAGCCUCCUGGUCUUCACUCCUGCUAAGCAAGGCUCCUAACCCAUGCUCCCUGGUUCAAUAACCUCCUGGAUCUCAACACGACUACCGGCACACCCAAGGCUCCUCACUGGCUCUACACUCCAGAAAUCAUUUCAGCCUCCCUGGAUGCAGUUAUCUCCCUCCAGCCUGGACCUCCGUUCCCACCAUGGCACACCAGACUGAAUCACUGAAGCCUCCUCCAGAUCCUGUGUGACUAACUUUUCAUAAUAAACUGUUGAACUUUA